rnacentral:rRNA from 1 species
CCUACGGGAGGCAGCAGUGAGGAAUAUUGGUCAAUGGACGAGAGUCUGAACCAGCCAAGUAGCGUGAAGGAUGACUGCCCUAUGGGUUGUAAACUUCUUUUAUCAAGGAAUAAAACGAGGCACGUGUGCCUUUUUGCAUGUACUUUAUGAAUAAGGAUCGGCUAACUCCGUGCCAGCAGCCGCGGUAAUACGGAGGAUCCGAGCGUUAUCCGGAUUUAUUGGGUUUAAAGGGAGCGUAGAUGGGUUGUUAAGUCAGUUGUGAAAGUUUGCGGCUCAACCGUAAAAUUGCAAUUGAUACUGGCAGUCUUGAGUACAGUUGAGGUAGGCGGAAUGCGUGGUGUAGCGGUGAAAUGCUUAGAUAUCACGAAGAACCCCGAUUGCGAAGGCAGCUUACUAGACUGUGACUGACAUUGAUGCUCGAAAGUGUGGGUAUCGAACAGGAUUAGAUACCCUUGUAGUC